AAAAGCAAAUACAAACAUACCUCCCGAAAAAUAUUCCUUCAGGAAAUACUUUUCAUCCCAAACAGCAGACAGCAACAAGCAAGACAAUCCUAACAUUGCAUUGCAGCUCAUUCAAUACCCAAAUCCUUCAACUCCCUAAAAUCUCCCUCACUUUAUGUAAAUGGUAUCAGAACCAAGACCCGUUGAUGAGAAAAGCCAUCUUAGAAGAAGAUCACUUCACUGCCUGUGCAAAUGAUGGUGUCGACAUGUGCAUGUAAAGUGAAGUGUAGAAACAAUGGCAUCUUGAAAGUUGAUGUAUAAGAAAUAUUUUAAAGAACGUUAUGGUAAUUGUUUGAGGGCAUCAUUUAGGUCCCCAAUUGGUUACAGAUGUACUCUGCCUGCAUUGAUGUCGUCCUGUUUCUGUACGAAAUGUCUUCUACAAAUGGCUCUAAGGCCUCCAUCGAGAUCCCGAGAAAAUGAUAUCUGCAUGAAUUUUCUUCGCAAUUACUUUCCCCUCCUUAACAGCUAGGAAGGAAUUAAGGCAAUACACAUGGAUUCCCAACCCAACUCAACCAACCCUACAACUGGACAUAAUGGGUCUGAACACCCCCGAGCACAACCUAUACAGCCGACUUUUUAGAUUAAGUUAAUCCAUGUAUUAUAUUUUAUAACUUUGUUCAUUA